UGACGGAGCUCCGGGACCUCUACGUGAGUUUUGGGGUCCCCGACCCUAAAACCCCCAUCCUGACCCCAAAACCGACCCCAUAACCCCCUUUGUGUCCCCCCCCCCACCCCACAGGCCGUGCUCCUCGAUGUCCUGCAGAAGAACAUGGAGAAGCUCCGCAAGCCCCGGGGGGAGCCCAAAGCCAUGAUUUUCUGAAAUUAGCCAAAACCCGCUGUUUUCACCCCCAAAAAAAAGAGCGGGUUCAGGACCCUGACCCCUUCCCCCCUCCCUUUCAAAAAAUUGAAGUUUUUUUUUUUUUACCCGUUUCCCGCUCAAAAUAGAGAUUUUUUUACGGUUUCGUGCCCCGUUCCCGCUCCAAAAAAAUUGAAUUUGUUUUUUUUUUUGACCCAUUUCCACCCCAAAAUAAUGGGAUUUUGGGUUUCAUUGUCCCAUCCCAAAUCCCUGCAAAAUGAAAUUUCUGAAAUUUCCCUUUUUGACCCAAUUCCUCCUCAAAAUACUACAAUUUCCCAAAAACGGGACUUCAGCGUCCCAUUCCCACCUAAAAAAAUGGGAUUUUGGGGUUCAAUGUCCCAUUUCCGCCCUAAAGGAGUGGAAUUUUGGGUUUCAUUGUCCCAUUCCAAAUCCCCCAAAACUGGAAUUUCACUUUUUUGUCCCAAUUCCUCCUCAAAAUACCACAACUUUCCAAAAUCCCUAAAAAUCGGACUUCAAUAUCCCAUUUCCAUCCCCAAAAAAUUGAGAUUUUAGGUUUUGACCCAUUUCCACUUAAAAAAAGAAAAAAAAAAAAAGCGGGAUUUUACAUUUUGAUCCAAUUCCCUCCCAAAAAGUGGGAUUUCCCCUUUUUCACCCAUCCUUCCCCAAAACCCCCCCAAAAUGGGUGACCAAUCACGGUGCAGAGGAGGCGGGGCUUCCUUGCCAUGGGUGACCAAUCACGUCGCUCCGCCGUUUCGGGGUGAUUUGAUGCUUUUUGGAUACUUUGAUUAAAAAAAAUCGAUGAUUUGAUCCAAAUUGAGCCGAAAUUGUUAUUUUGAGUCCUUUCUGCCCAAUUCUUGGCCGCUUGGGGGCGCCCCCGCCCUGCAGCUCCUUUUUGGGGCAAAACCCGGCCCUUUGGGGAUUUUCCACCUGGGUGGUGCCAAGGGUUGUAAUUUGGGGCCGCGAAUCGAAACUUUUGGGGCCGGCGGCUCGCUUGUUUGCACAAAAGCAGCCAGGCGAAACGAGGCGGAAAAGGGCUUUUUGCAUAAAAAGCUAAAACUGGUGGUUUUCGGUGGCGGGGGAGGUGUUUUGGGGAAAAAAAGAGGGCAAACAGGGCAUUUUGCAUCCACC
rnacentral:lncRNA from 1 species